rnacentral:lncRNA from 10 species
GGAAGGAGUGAGCAUGGUAGAAAGAUGUGGCUACAAAGAGGAACACACAUGUGGUUCUUGCCCUUUAGGAGUUUAAUUCAAGUAUGGGGGAGUCAGCGCAGCUUUUGAAGCUGGAGAGCAUCAUAUUUUAGAAAGAUCAAGCAAUGUGGAUGAGGACACAUUAAAAAGAGAAGACCGAGAGGAGGGGACACCACUCAGGCUUAUAACCUCCAGCUCACAUUUCAGCACCAAAGGACCAAAGCCUAGACCUGAGAUCUGGCACUUGCAAAAAGAAAGAUCACCUGGAAGAACAAAAUAGAAGACUCCUGCUCCCAAUAGGCUUGGGUCAGGAAGAAGGCUGUUGGCAUAAUUGUGGAGUAGGAAGAUGGAAAACAACUCCUAGAGAUCCCAACAGCUGAACGCGUGCUUGGGCAGUGGCUGCGGGUGAAGUCAUGGGAAGGCAAGUCAUGAAGGGCAUUAAUCAAGGUAAAAGCAAAAGGAAAAUGAGGUUCUUCAGGGCACAGUGUGUGGGAAGCAACAGCAUGAUGGAAUCAUUAGGAGAGAUGCCCAUGACUCCUGCGCCCAGCAGGAGUUGUUUCUGCAGGGGUCCCUGCUUCCAUCUCCUAAGUUGCAGGCAGAGAGGGCAGAAGCCAGGAUCAUCAAUACCCAAGAGGGAGCAUCGAAGAGUGCAUGCUUCCUCUACUAUGUCGUGAUAUAGAUGGAGGCCAGGAUUUGGGAGCUUUGGAACACAUCUCUCCCAGGCCUGAUUGUUAGGAGAGGACUUAGGCAAGGUGUGGGCAAUGCUGGUGCUUCACCUUUCCUUGUUGACCAGACAGACCCAGAAGGGUCAUUUGUCAAAACAAAGAAAAUCUCUUCCAGGGGUGAGGCAGGUGUGGCUGCCUGUAUGUGAA